rnacentral:tRNA from 1 species
GUCCCCGUAGCUUAAUGCCCAAAGCAUGACACUGAAGAUGUCAAGAUGGCCGCUUCUCCGCCCGAGGACA